GACGACCUCUGGCGGCGCGCCUAACACAUGCAAGUCGAACGAGCGAGAGAGAGCUUGCUUUCUCGAGCGAGUGGCGAACGGGUGAGUAACGCGUGAGGAACCUGCCUCAAAGAGGGGGACAACAGUUGGAAACGACUGCUAAUACCGCAUAAGCCCACGGUGCUGCAUGGCACAGAGGGAAAAGGAGCAAUCCGCUUUGAGAUGGCCUCGCGUCCGAUUAGCUAGUUGGUGAGGUAACGGCCCACCAAGGCGACGAUCGGUAGCCGGACUGAGAGGUUGAACGGCCACAUUGGGACUGAGACACGGCCCAGACUCCUACGGGAGGCAGCAGUGGGGAAUAUUGCACAAUGGGGGAAACCCUGAUGCAGCGACGCCGCGUGGAGGAAGAAGGUCUUCGGAUUGUAAACUCCUGUUGUUGGGGAAGAUAAUGACGGUACCCAACAAGGAAGUGACGGCUAACUACGUGCCAGCAGCCGCGGUAAAACGUAGGUCACAAGCGUUGUCCGGAAUUACUGGGUGUAAAGGGAGCGCAGGCGGGAAGACAAGUUGGAAGUGAAAUCUAUGGGCUCAACCCAUAAACUGCUUUCAAAACUGUUUUUCUUGAGUAGUGCAGAGGUAGGCGGAAUUCCCGGUGUAGCGGUGGAAUGCGUAGAUAUCGGGAGGAACACCAGUGGCGAAGGCGGCCUACUGGGCACCAACUGACGCUGAGGCUCGAAAGUGUGGGUAGCAAACAGGAUUAGAUACCCUGGUAGUCCACACCGUAAACGAUGAUUACUAGGUGUUGGAGGAUUGACCCCUUCAGUGCCGCAGUUAACACAAUAAGUAAUCCACCUGGGGAGUACGACCGCAAGGUUGAAACUCAAAGGAAUUGACGGGGGCCCGCACAAGCAGUGGAGUAUGUGGUUUAAUUCGACGCAACGCGAAGAACCUUACCAAGUCUUGACAUCCCUUGACAGGCAUAGAAAUAUGUUUUCUCUUCGGAGCAAGGAGACAGGUGGUGCAUGGUUGUCGUCAGCUCGUGUCGUGAGAUGUUGGGUUAAGUCCCGCAACGAGCGCAACCCUUAUGGUCAGUUACUACGCAAGAGGACUCUGGCCAGACUGCCGUUGACAAAACGGAGGAAGGUGGGGAUGACGUCAAAUCAUCAUGCCCUUUAUGACUUGGGCUACACACGUACUACAAUGGCGUUAAACAAAGAGAAGCAAGACCGCGAGGUGGAGCAAAACUCAGAAACAACGUCCCAGUUCGGGCUGCAGGCUGCAACUCGCCUGCACGAAGUCGGAAUUGCUAGUAAUCGUGGAUCAGCAUGCCACGGUGAAUACGUUCCCGGGCCUUGCACA
rnacentral:rRNA from 1 species